rnacentral:lncRNA from 1 species
GCUUGUAUACUUAAGGUUAUAAGGGAUAAUCUUUUCUGGUAUUAGCUGCAUUGAAACCUCUCCAGUUAAACAAAAAAAUUGAAUUUACUGAGGAUUUCAUGGCAGCUUUAGUCUCCAUGUUAUGCUCAUAGUCAAAGGAAUGCUUAAGUUCCUUAAUGCGCAGCAUUUACCACACAUUUGAAUAACUUCAUUCUGUAGAUGC